rnacentral:rRNA from 1 species
AUGAAGGCUUUCGGGUCGUAAAGUUCUGUUGUCAGGGAAGAACAAGUACCGGAGUAACUGCCGGUACCUUGACGGUACCUGACCAGAAAGCCACGGCUAACUACGUGCCAGCAGCCGCGGUAAUACGUAGGUGGCAAGCGUUGUCCGGAAUUAUUGGGCGUAAAGCGCGCGCAGGCGGUUCCUUAAGUCUGAUGUGAAAGCCCCCGGCUCAACCGGGGAGGGUCAUUGGAAACUGGGGAACUUGAGUGCAGAAGAGGAGAGCGGAAUUCCACGUGUAGCGGUGAAAUGCGUAGAGAUGUGGAGGAACACCAGUGGCGAAGGCGGCUCUCUGGUCUGUAACUGACGCUGAGGCGCGAAAGCGUGGGGAGCGAACAGGAUUAGAUACCCUGGUAGUCCACGCCGUAAACGAUGAGUGCUAAGUGUUAGAGGGUUUCCGCCCUUUAGUGCUGCAGCAAACGCAUUAAGCACUCCGCCUGGGGAGUACGGCCGCAAGGCUGAAACUCAAAGGAAUUGACGGGGGCCCGCACAAGCGGUGGAGCAUGGGGUUUAAUUCGAAGCAACGCGAAGAACCUUACCAGGUCUUGACAUCCUCUGACAACCCUAGAAGAUAGGGCGUUCCCCUUCGGGGGACAGAGUGACAGGUGGUGCAUGGUUGUCGUCAACUCGUGUCGUGAGAUGUUGGGUUAAGUCCCGCAACGAGCGCAACCCUUGAUCUUAGUUG